UUUUUGUUGUGUCCGGAAGCAUUUGUGCCAAGGAUAUCCACUGUAAGCAGUCUUGUGUGUCCCCAUCAAAGUAAGGGAGAAGAAGGAAGGUGUUAGGACAGAUUGAAGAAGUGGAUUGAGCAGGAAACUCACCUGGUAGACAUACUGUGUUUGCAGAUAAUAGGAAGCAUUUUUAAGCUGGAAGAAUAUGAUAAAACCACAAGAAAAACAACAAAACUAAAGGGCCCAAGCUGCUGCUGAGGGCCAUAUCUGCAUCCAUGCUCGAGCUAAAGCUAGGGUCUAUGUUGGUGUCUGUGCCCUAUGUCAUCUCAGAGGGCUAGAGGCUAUAGGAACCAUUCAUGAAGAAUUCAGAAGGCCCUGAUAAGCUGGUCUCUCUCUGGACACUGUAGCAAAAGAGCUGGCCCGGCACUCAGGAGAAAUGGUCCCAACCCUCCCCAUAGGCAUUGGAGAACUAACCCUGAUGGCAUCAACACAGCAGAGCUGGUUCUGCUCCUUGCCUGAAGCAAAUGACCCCAGUGGCCCAGACUGACUAGUUCAUUUACCAUAAUCAGGCUUGGAGUUUGCCCGCCCUAACAUCUACCCUGACUAGGACUCAUGGGAUAUAGGGAAGGGACAGGUCCUGUGGAAUGAUUACCUGCAGGAUCUCCAUGACUAGAGUAUCCUCAAGAUAUCCCAGAGGAGUUUAGGUGAGGAGCCAGUGAUGAUGGUGUGACAGAAACCAGAGGCCUUGAACCAGACCAGUGACUCAUUGCAAUGAACAUUUGCUAGUAAAGCUGAUUGGACAAAAGGGUAUACUAUAUGACACAUCAUGGCCCCCAAUGCCACCAGGACGAAUGAAGAAGUGUUGGAGAAGAGGGAAAGAUGGAGAAUCAAAGUUUAUUUUGUUUAUUUUGUUUUUGUUUGUCUGUUUGUUUUUGUUUGUCUCUUUUUCUUAAUUUUCUUUUGAGAAGUUCUGCAGGGGUGAAGGCAUGGGAGGGCUUGGAGUGCCCAUAUGAGUGGAGUUAGGGUGCAUGAUGUGAAAUUCUCAAAGCCUCAAUAAAGAAAUAAUGUUAAAUUAAAAAUAAAAGCAAAGUAAAAUCAUCAAAGAGAUGCUCAGUGGAAACAGAGAUGCUUAGUAGGUAUCCCACUAAGGAUCGGGUGCAGAAGCCUGCUAACUAUACUGUCUCCAUACAUUUUUCUUUAUAAUAUGAUUUGGGUCCCAAAUAAUGUUUUGUUCAGAUGAAAACUGUGUAGUUUGACUCCAAAAUGAUGGAGCAUGCAUAAUUGUAACCAAUGGUGGGAGGCUGAGGAAGGAGGUUUGAAACAUUGAGGCCAGUCUGGAUUACACAGUGAAAUAAAAAUAAAAGUGAAUUGAAACAAACAACAACAAAUCAUCUCUAAGUUUUGAUUUUUGAAGAUGGUGACAUGACUGAAAUAUUAAAGGACACAAUACAUCCACGGAAGGAGGCAAAAACAAAAGUGGGAAGAUUUUGGAACACCAUCAUGAUUUGACUACAGGGCAGCUGAGGUUUAGAGAGAGCAGAAAAGAAUACAUAGAGGACUGCCUGAUACUCCAGAAUGGAGCCAUUUGGCCACAGUCAUAGACGUGAAUGUGGUAGCUGAUAAGAGAUACAUCAGCUGAUCCCAACAUUCGCUUAUGUCACCUGCAAAAGACAUUGUCUGAAUAGAGAUUCCUUUUGCAGAUGCAGUCGUGUUUUCACACAAAGGCAAUCCUUCCUAAGCUGCACCAGCUUGGUUCUGAUCACUGCUCUGUGUAAGCUGGUGGCAGACGGAAGGGAGGGUUUGUUGAGAAUGGAUAGCAGUCUGCUGUUCUGGAAGCUAACUGUUUUGCAACUUGUCCCUGAGGCAAUCAGAAUAUACUGACAUGCUUUGACAAACAGACCACCAACAAACUUGAAGCAUGU
ensembl:lncRNA